AUUGAACGCUGGCGGCAUGCUUUACACAUGCAAGUCGAACGGUAACAGGGUGCUUGCACCGCUGACGAGUGGCGAACGGGUGAGUAAUGCGUCGGAACGUGCCGAGUAGUGGGGGAUAACGCAGCGAAAGUUGUGCUAAUACCGCAUACGUACUGAGGUAGAAAGUGGGGGACCUUCGGGCCUCACGCUAUUCGAGCGGCCGACGUCUGAUUAGCUAGUAGGUGAGGUAAGAGCUCACCUAGGCGACGAUCAGUAGCGGGUCUGAGAGGAUGAUCGGCCACACUGGGACUGAGACACGGCCCAGACUCCUACGGGAGGCAGCAGUGGGGAAUUUUGGACAAUGGGCGCAAGCCUGAUCCAGCCAUGCCGCGUGUCUGAAGAAGGCCUUCGGGUUGUAAAGGACUUUUGUCAGGGAGGAAAUCCUAGUGGCUAAUAACUGCUGGGGAUGACAGUACCUGAAGAAUAAGCACCGGCUAACUACGUGCCAGCCGCCGCCGUAACAC
rnacentral:rRNA from 1 species